CAUAGUCCAGGCUGGUCUUGAACUUAUGAUCCUCUUGCUUCACCCUCCUCAGUGCUAGGAUUGUAGAAACAUGCCACCAUACUUUGAAGUUUAAAUGAUUUUUGCUAAUUCAUUAUUUGUGUCCUUGAGCACAACACCCAGUCUUUUCCAAGCCUAGCUUUCUUACCUGGAAAACGAGGCCUCCAGGUGUCACUUAGUUUGUCAUAAGAUUGUUGAGAAGAUUCCGGGCCAUGCAUGCAUACAGCACACAUCCACAUAAAAGGCGUCUAAUAAUGGUCUCUUUCUUCUGUUCUCCGCUCACUCUUUCUGACUUAUUUUGGGUUCCUACAGCAGCUUGUGCAAGCUUCCUUGGCGUUUUUCAGAAGCGCCGAUGAUCUUGCUUCACUUCCUGCUGAAAUGGAGACGCAGCUGCGUCUUCAGCCAUCCGUAGCACAGCGGCAGAGAUCUUACAACGGCUCUGCAAGGAGCCGGCUCUCUUGCUCCUCGGCGGGGUUUCUGUGAAGAUGGCUGCAACCAGAAGCUACAGUUGUUCAACACUGGGCAGCAGCCAUCAUCCUUGUCACCACCAACAUCACCUUUGCCAUCAUCUUGAUUCUGCAAGUGUUCGGGAGGAGGCGCUGGGCUUACUUCUCUGUUCUUGUCACUCUCUGAGGUCAGUUUUCUCACUAUGCAAUAGAGCCCUCCUAUCAUUUCCCAAAUACAAGAAACCCAUCCCUUCCUGCCCAAGUUUGACUCUGUCCUGAAUCUGGCAAAGAACGUGUCCCCAGUCCCCCCACUUUUCCAGUACGCUGUUCCCUUUUCUUUGAAAUUACCUGGUACAAUUCUCUUUGAAAUUACAAGGUGAGUGAGAGACUCAAAGGCCUUGCAGUUCUGCAACCCCUGGUACCCUAGCAUCCUUUGAGGCCUGUCCUUCAGCCUCUAACUCUACUUCCCCAUCUGCACAGUGUCACAAGGUAGGACCCUGCAGAAGCGACACUGCGAAAAUGAUGAGUGACGAUGUUUUAGCCCCCACACCCUGAUUCUUCUUUUCACCAUUCAGUGGGCCCUUCCUGUCGCACUUACAAAACCGAGAAGAACAAAAGUCACGACACACUCUUGUUCUUGCCAUUGGCCAGCCUAGCUGAGUCACAGGCUGAGAUGAGCUCUGCCACGAACCUAAGUUCAUUUUACUAUGUGCCUACAACAUGAAGAAUGCAGACGGACAGCGGUGGCACACACCGCUUUAAUCCCAGCACUCGGGAGGCAGAGGCAGGCGGAUCUCUGUGAGUUCGAGGCCAGCCUGGUCUACAAGAGCUAGUUCCAGGACAGACUCCAAAGCCACAGAGAAACCCUGCCUCAGGGGAAAACAAAAACAAAAAACAAACAAACAAAACCCCCCAAACCAUGAAGAAUGCCUGGCAUUCCUUUGCAGUAUGCCAAGAUUUGACAAAAGCCACUGUCCAGUUUUUAAGACUGAGCUAGUUGCUUUCUUUGUCUCUACUCUCCAACUAGCGUUCAAGCCAAGGUGAGUGGCAGCACUGGUUUCUCGCUAAUGGUGUUUCACUUAUGAGUCUUUCUCCACGACCCCGUGAGAAGUGCUCCCACACAGAUUCCUCAUGAAGACUAAAACAAGACCCUCACAAGGAUUUUAAAGGAAGUUUCUGAGAAAUGAGAGGCAAGAAGAUUAAGGAUGCUUUUAUUUCACUAGUGGCUUAGACAACAGACCAGACUGGCCUGCAACUCACAAGGAUCCGCCUGUCUCUGCCACCCGAGUGCUCAGAUUAAAGAUGUAUGCUACCAC